GAUGAACGCUGGCGGCGUGCCUAAUACAUGCAAGUCGAGCGAACGGACGAGAAGCUUGCUUCUCUGAUGUUAGCGGCGGACGGGUGAGUAACACGUGGAUAACCUACCUAUAAGACUGGGAUAACUUCGGGAAACCGGAGCUAUUACCGGAUGAUAUUUUGAACCGCAUGGUUCAAAAGUGAAAGACGGUCUUGCUGUCACUUAUAGAUGGAUCCGCGCUGCAUUAGCUAGUUGGUAAGGUAACGGCUUACCAAGGCAACGAUGCAUAGCCGACCUGAGAGGGUGAUCGGCCACACUGGAACUGAGACACGGUCCAGACUCCUACGGGAGGCAGCAGUAGGGAAUCUUCCGCAAUGGGCGAAAGCCUGACGGAGCAACGCCGCGUGAGUGAUGAAGGUCUUCGGAUCGUAAAACUCUGUUAUUAGGGAAGAACAUAUGUGUAAGUAACUGUGCACAUCUUGACGGUACCUAAUCAGAAAGCCACGGCUAACUACGUG
rnacentral:rRNA from 1 species